rnacentral:lncRNA from 1 species
GGGGAAAGCAUCACAAGCAAGGGUGAGAUUUGAGAGAAGAGGGCUAUUGUAUCAGAAAAGGAAAAUGGGAAUAAUGUAAGAAAAAGGAAUUUCUUUCCAGAAAAGUCCAAUCCAAGAGUACGGGAAGAGGGCCACUUUUGCCUCUUUCGUUCACCUAUCGACCAAUGCCUUGCCUCUGCUGUACCUCGUAUUUAUGACCCUCUCUUUCUUCCACAUCCUCA